GUGUAUGAGGGGAUUCGCAUACAGGAUGGUCUGCAGGUGGCAGUUAAAUUUGUCCAGAAGACCCCAAAUAUGCAAGAUGUCAGCUCUUCAUGUGACCAGCCACUUCCUCUAGAGAUCACCUUGGCAAACAUGGCCAGCGGUGGCUCCAGGUGU